CUUACUUUAAUGUGAUAAGUUAAAUAAACGUUAAGUAUAUUUUAAAUAUGGAAUUUUAAUAGAUAUAAGCCUCCAGUUUAAAAUAUUAAACAAUAUAAGCAAUUAUAAUUUAGAUAAAUUUAUUAUUAUAGGUUCAUUAGGUGCCAGCAACCGCGGUCAUACUUAAUAUAUAAGUUUAUUAAUAAUAGUAAAUAAUAUUUAUUUUAAAAUAACAUAAUAAGUAGUGAAAUAUUACUAUGUUUUUAUUUUACUAAAAUUAAUUAAAUAAUAAAUCCAACUAUAAAACUAGGAUUAGAGACCCUACUAUUGUGGAUUCAAAAUACUUUACUAAGGAGUAAAUUCUCUUUUAAAAUUUAAAAGUUAUGGCGGCUAAACAAAACAAUUAGGGGAACUUACCAUAUCAUUGAUAGUCACCAAGCUCAAAACACUUACUUUAAAAAUUUGUAUACCGUUGCCUUCAUAAAUCUCUCAAAGAGGUUUAAGAAAAUAUUUAAUUAUAAUAAGACAAAUCAUGGUGCAGUCUAUAAGUAAGAAUUAAGGUGAGUUACAGUAAAAUUUAUUUUCGAAGUACCAAUUUGAAACAAAAUAGGAAGAUGGACUUAAAAGUAUUUUAUAAAUAUAUAUAUAUUAAUAGAAUUUGUAUUGCUUAGUGUA
rnacentral:rRNA from 1 species